GAAGCGAGUGAGUGAAGGACAUCCCAGAGGGCUCCUUUGCACUCUCAGUAGGAGCCAGUUCCCAGUUAUGUCUGGUCUUCGAGGCCCAGGGAGGGGCAAACCCACAGAUUAUUCAAAUACCUCAAGUUGGCCAACACUUUCAACCUUUCACUGCAGCUGUCAACAAGAACUCAUUUUCAUUUUGCCUCUACCAUUUGAUGGAUGGGUGGCUGGACACUGAAACUCUGAGGAGUCCAGCAGCAGAAGAGAAAAGCCAAGGAUUUGAGGAAUCAGGUCUCAGGUCCCUGAGAGUGUGGCAUGUUUUGUAGUUCUCUUGAAGUCCUCCUCCCAAACUCGAAUCUGCCUGAUACAUUGCCUGAGCUCCAUAAAUAUCUGCUGAAUGAUUGAAUGAACAAAGGAAUGGUGAACUGGGGUUGAAAUAUUAAUUGUCACCUCUGGUCCUACAGAGUUCCUAAUUGCUGUGUUGACACGAGGCUUUUAGAGAAGAGUAAAUGUCAUUUGAAUAUAGCUCUUUGAAAAAGGAUUUUGAUAUUUGCCUGGAUAUGUGAAAAAAUUGAGGGGAAAGUGAAAAGUGAUCUUCAGAUAUAAGAAUUAUUGAUGAAGUUUGUUACCAGCCCUCUUACCUGGCCAGUGAGCACAAAACAGGAGUCAGGAAAAGGCUAAAAAUUAUACAUAUACUAACAGGAUUUUAGGAGGAACCAUAACAGAAAAGUAUAUCCUCCUCCAUCACAUUUUUAGAGGUGAGCAUACAAGGGCCCAGAGUUAAUAAUGACUUACUCAAGAUUCCAGAUCGAUGUAGAGAUAGGGGUGGGAGCAUCCCCCAGUUCCUCCUCCUUGGGCCCCAGGAUGAGACCUCUCUCUGUAGAGGCUGUUGAAUCACCUUACCCUCUGGUUGGGAGAGUUUACAGUCCAGUGGCAUCUCCUUCCAGCUCUACGUUCCUCAGAACCAGAGGCAAGUACCCAGCCCCAUCAUCCUGUCUGCCCCAUCCUCUCCUUGGCAUCUACCCUGGAAGGACCAUUGGGCCUGCUUUCCAGUCCUCUCCUGGGCCAGCAGCACCAGUGCUAAUGCGCACCUCCUCACUGCUGCAUGGGACCCACAGACCUUUCUGCCUGACACAUCUAGGCCACCUUGGGCCCCUUCCUCUUUCUUUUUCUUCGAAUAAGUUUAUACAUCUCUAAGGCUAAUUUUAACUUCCUGGUCAGAUUUGAAUACUCACCAGUGAAAACAGAAAAGCUAAGUGAAACCAGGCAAAUCAACUUCAGCUUCAGGUCAGACCAGCUCUCCUUACCACAGAGGGAACCUCCAAUUCAGAAUUCAUCAGUAUUUGCUGGAUACUGGGAAUCCCCCACCUCUGCAGGAAUUAUUACCUUGUGGCAUGAAUAGGGCACAGAUGGCAAAGCCAUCUGGGCUCCUGUCCUAGCACACACACGUACACACACACACACACGUCCACCCCUGAAACAUUGGGAUCACUGCCCACCUUGAGAUAAAGUUGCCAGAUUUAGCAAAUUGCAGGAUGCCAUUUGAAUGUCAAAUUAACAACCGAUAACUUUCUAGUGUAAAUAUGUCCCAUGCAAUAUUUGGGACAUACUAAAAAAAUUCAUUUUUCAUAUGACAUUCAAAUUUCACUGGGCAUGCUGUCUUUUGUUGAAGAAAGACAGGGAGAUGGGAACCAUGGGCCUGUUUCCUUCCUCCCUCCCUCCCUCACCCCGUCCAUCAGGCUUGGGAUGGUACAUGCUGUUGCAACACUGACCCUUCUAGAUCAGCCAGCCCAUGUAUUGAAACACUGGCUUCUGGAUGUGUAUAGGGGUCCAGGGAAUUUAGAUUUGGGGAUGCAGUCUCUUAGCCUGGAUCCUGGAAAGGCAGCUGUAAGGGUGAAGGAAGAGCCCUGGCCAAGGGUAUAGACAGACAGAGCAGGUUCAGAGAUUGCCUCUGACCUUGGGUGCAUCACUCAACAUCUUGGCCUGAAUUUCCUCCCCAGUAAAUAAUGCCCGUGUUGCAAGGUU